rnacentral:pre_miRNA from 1 species
AUAUGAAUCACCUGGGGAUCUUGUUAAAAUUGCAGAUUCUGAUCCCAUAGAUCUGGGAUAGGGCCAGAGAUUUUGCAUUUCUAACAAGCUGCCAGGUAAUACUGCU